GCUGACGGCCAUAGCGGCGGGGAAACACCCGUUCCCAUCCCGAACACGGAAGUUAAGCCCGCCAGCGUUCCCUGUUGUACUGUGGUGCGCGAGCCCACGGGAAGCAGGGAUCGCUGUCAGCC
rnacentral:rRNA from 1 species